UACGUAGGGUGCGAGCGUUGUCCGGAAUUAUUGGGCGUAAAGAGCUCGUAGGCGGUGUGUCGCGUCGAAUGUGAAAACCCGGGGCUCAACCCCGGGCCUGCAUUCGAUACGGGCAGACUAGAGUUCGGUAGGGGAGUCUGGAAUUCCUGGUGUAGCGGUGAAAUGCGCAGAUAUCAGGAAGAACACCCGUGGCGAAAGCGGCUCUCUGGAACGGUACUGACGCUGAGACGCGAAAGCGUGGGGGAGCGAACAGG
rnacentral:rRNA from 1 species